UUUCCCUUAUCCCUCCCUCUCUCUCGCGAAUACAUAAAACAAAACAAACACUGAAGUCCUUUUCCCUCUCACACAGCACAAAUCAAAGAAACCCCCCCACCCACUCGUUUCUUCUCCGGUGAGACCACCGGCGGAACCGUUGCCGGUAUACCGCCCAGCCGCACCCCCUUCUUCUCCGACGCGACACCGCUACCCCCUUCAUCUUCUCCGGUCGGAUUUACGGCAGACACCAUCAACCGCCCCCCUGUUCUUGACUAAUUGAACCACCGACUACCACCCCUCUAGUGGUGGCACGCAGCGACGCGAGAGAGAGAGGAGACGAGAGAGAGAAGCAGGUUAGAGAUGGAAGUUUAACGGCUGCAACAGUGGUGGCACUCGAUAGAACCGUCGGCGACGGCGCCGCCGUGACGGCAGCGGUGGUGUUUCGACUCCGACGAGGCAACUGGUAAACCCUUCACCUUCCUACAUUUCGGUUCCUUUCUUUCGAUCUAAUGUAGGUUAAUACUGACAAUGUUCCGUUUGUUCGGGUCGAGUCUGGUUCGUGUUUCGACUCGGUUUGGUUUGGAUCUUGGCUCAGCUUAGCUCCGAUUCAGUUUUGGUUCUCGGUUUGUUUCGACUCACGCAGUUCGGUUCAGAUUCGGAUCGAUUUGGUUCAGAUCCGGUUCAGUCGAGUUCAAUCGGUUCGGUUCGAUGCCCGGGUCAAACCUGGUCAAACUUGGUCAACUGAGGUCUCGAUGCACUCGGUAGUUCAACGACGGUGACCUCGGUGUUCCACCCUCCAAAUCUUUUACGCUCGUCAACACUUGGAUAAUCGGAAGACUUAGCAAUUAUGUGUCCAAUAUCCUCUAGAACUUGCUGCAGUCAGAGAAGAGAUCAAAUCCUUCUACUUUGAGGAUGACCCUGCUAAAAGGAGUUUGCCAUCAGUUGAAGGAUAUCCCAGGCCUAACAACAUUGAAGAAUAUUUGAAAGUUAAGGCUCAAUAGGCAAAGGUGGGUGUGUAGAGGUUUAGGAGUUUAGUAGGUAAUAUGUUGUGUAAGUAUGAGGCGGUGUGUAGAGCUUCGACCCAAAACACGGGGGUAGGUUUGCAUGGAUAAGGAGGGCGCGUAUGAUAUCAUUUAGACGACGAAUCAUACGUUCGGCCCGUCCAUUCUGUGAGGAGGUUUGAGGACACGAGAAACGAAAUAGCAAGCCAUGGUGAUUGGCAAAGCUUUUGAAGGCAUGAUUAUCAAAUUCGCCCCCAAGAUCGCAUUGAAAAGUUUUUAUCUUUCUUUGAAAUUGUGUUGCAAUUAGUUUGUGAAAUUUAGCAAAGGUGGGAAAGGCCUCGGAUUUAAAUUUAAGUGGGUAUGCCCAAACAAAGUGGGAAAAAUUGUCAA